CAGUCAAAGCUCUCUCCCUCCGUUUAUCUUUCUUCUCUCUCUCGGACUCCCUCUCUCCGUUUAUCUCCUGCGAUUGUCGGCGGCGGAGUCCCCAAAAUCUAUGUUCUCUCGGCGUUAGUGGUUUUGCUCGUGUUAGCUGUCGAAGAGGCAUUUACCCGGCCAAGGAAGAAGAAAACCUCACUCAAUCCUCUCUUUCCACCAAAUUUCCAAAUUUCCCCAUGCAUUCUUAGGUUCGUGGAAGGAAGAUCGAUACCUGAUUUUGUGAAGACUGGGUAGUGGAAGGAAGAUCAAAGGCACGUGAAGCGCUCUUCCUACGCCAAGCUCGCUUACCGAAAGAGGUUCGCAUUUCUCUAUUUCUGUCUGUUUUUCAUUUAUGAACACUUUUUCCCCAAAUCUAAUGGUGCCCGCUCGUUCAUUUUGUCCCCUCUUGUGGUUUUUGGUCAGUUUAUACUAAGCUUUCUAAUUCCCAUACGAACAAGGCACAAAAAAAGCCCUAAAUUCCCUUCUGUCGAAGAGCCUUUUGUUUUUUCUCUUUUCUUGGAUGGGUUUUUUUGUUCCUUAAUGAGCCUCCUCAGCCCCUAUGACACCUCUGCGCCGCUCAACCCUAAUUGCCUUUCCAACACCACCUCGUCGCUGCCUCAAGAGCAGCGCCUUCUUUGGCCUCCCUUGGCGUCUGCAAUCAAGUCCAGCAUCGUCUGGGACAGCGUCUACUUCGUUCGAAUCACGUAGUGCGGCUACGAGUACGAGCAGUCCUAUGCCUUCUUGCCUCUGCUUCCCCUUUGCAUCUCCUUCUUCUCGCGAACAGUUUUUGCUCCAUUAGUUCCAGUUAUAGGGAAAAAACAAAAAACAUUAUGAGGAUUACGUUUGGAGACCCAUUUUCUAAAAAAUAAAAUUAAGACACCCAUUUUCGGAGGAUGAGAGGGCGUUUGAUUUUGAAGCAUGGAGCACCAGGGACCUGAAGGCGUUUGACAUUAAGCUAGCGUUUCUGAAGGAGCUAGGAUCCAUAUCCGCCGAGCUCUUGACCGGUUUCAAGCCUCCAAUGCCAAAGAAUCGAAAGAACUAAUAAGAAGGCCAGAGUCCUAUGGAAUAGUAUGGUGCUCUCAUUGUUAUGGUCUCUGUGGAUAGAACGAAAUGGCAUAAUUUUUUAAGAAAAGACGAUGGGGCCAAUUGAUAUUUUUGAGAAGGUAAAGUUCUAUGCAUUGCUAUGGGAUGCUUCAGGUUCCCGUUUACUUUGGUCAUUUUGAAUUGGAAAGAUGUAAUAGGGAAUUGAUUUGAGAUACCGUUUAUGUGUUUAUCUUGCUCUUUUUAUAUGUUAGUCAGUUUUUCACACCUGGCCAUUUUUGUUUCUUUUUGGUUUGAGGAUACCUUUAUCAUCUGCCCUUGUUAUUGAAUUUUAUC